CCUACGGGAGGCAGCAGUGGGGAAUUUUGGACAAUGGGCGAAAGCCUGAUCCAGCCAUUCCGCGUGCAGGACGAAGGCCUUCGGGUUGUAAACUGCUUUUGUACGGAACGAAAAGGUUUCAGCUAAUACCUGGGACUCAUGACGGUACCGUAAGAAUAAGCACCGGCUAACUACGUGCCAGCAGCCGCGGUAAUACGUAGGGUGCGAGCGUUAAUCGGAAUUACUGGGCGUAAAGCGUGCGCAGGCGGUCUUGUAAGACAGAUGUGAAAUCCCCGGGCUCAACCUGGGAACUGCAUUUGUGACUGCAAGGCUAGAGUGCGGCAGAGGGGGAUGGAAUUCCGCGUGUAGCAGUGAAAUGCGUAGAUAUGCGGAGGAACACCGAUGGCGAAGGCAAUCCCCUGGGCCUGCACUGACGCUCAUGCACGAAAGCGUGGGGAGCAAACAGGAUUAGAUACCCUGGUAGUCCACGCCCUAAACGAUGUCAACUGGUUGUUGGGUCUUCACUGACUCAGUAACGAACUAACGCGUGAAGUUGACCGCCUGGGGAGUACGGCCGCAAGGUUGAAACUCAAAUGAAUUGACGG
rnacentral:rRNA from 1 species